rnacentral:rRNA from 1 species
AACGUAGGGGGCGAGCGUUUUCCGGAAUUACUGGGCGUAAAGGGCGUGUAGGCGGCUCGUGAAGUCAGGAGUGAAAACCCGGGGCUCAACUUCGGGACUGCUUUUGAAACCAGCGGGCUUGAGUGCAGGAGAGGAAAGUGGAAUUCCCAGUGUAGCGGUGAAAUGCGUAGAUAUUGGGAGGAACACCAGUGGCGAAAGCGACUUUCUGGCCUGUAACUGACGCUGAGGCGCGAAAGCGUGGGGAGCAAACAGG